rnacentral:misc_RNA from 1 species
CCGAGUUAGGGUUUCGUCUGACGAGCCCGACCUCCCAACCCUUUGUCUAUUAUACCUUGUCGUUGCUUCGGUGGACCGGUCGCGACCAACUGGUCGUGACCGCCGGGGUCCCGUCCCUGGAGAGCGUCCGCCGACGGCCCAACCACUUAAAACUCAAAAUGAAUCGUGUCAUAUGUCUAAGUCUAUGAUUAAAUUAAAGCA